CUAUAGACCGACACCCUGAGGUCUCCUCCUCUACCCCUCUAUAUACCCAGACACCCUGAGGUCUCCUCCUCUACCCCUCUAUAGACCCAGACACCCUGAGGUCUCCUCCUCUACCCCUCUAUAUACCCCAGACACCCUGAGGUCUCCUCCUGUACCCCUCUAUAGACCCAGACACCCUGAGGUCUCCUCCUGUACCCCGCUAUAGACCCAGACACCCUGAGGUCUCCUCCUCUACCCCUCUAUAGACCCAGACACCCUGAGGUCUCCUCCUCUACCCCUCUAUAUACCCAGACACCCUGAGGUCUCCUCCUGUACCCCUCUAUAGACCCAGACACCCUGAGGUCUCCUCCUGUACCCCUCUAUAGACCCAGACACCCUGAGGUCUCCUCCUGUACACCCUAUCGGUCUCUCUCCUCUCUCUCUCUCUCUCUACACUACAACAGUAAUUGAGUAGCCUACUGUAGUGGGAUCUGUCUCUGUAUCCACAGCAUCUGAGUUGGAGUGCUGAUCCAGGAUCAGGUUCCAACCUGUCCAUAUAAUUUGAUUCAUUAUGAGCUAAAAGGCUAAACUGAUCCUACAUUAAGACAUCACUCCAUACUAGAUCUACUCUGAUAAGCUUUGAGGAUACAGGCCGAGUCCCCCAGUCCUGGUGGCUAAACUGAUAUUAGAUCAGCACUGCUGCUCUGAGAAGCUUUGUGGAUACAGGCCCAGUCCUGGUGGCUAAACUGAUCCUAGAUCAGCACUGCUGCUCUGAGAAGCUUUGUGGA